UACGGAGGGGGCUAGCGUUGUUCGGAAUUACUGGGCGUAAAGCGCGCGUAGGCGGCCAUGCGUGUCUUCCGUGAAAUCCCUCGGCUUAACUGAGGACGUGCGGAAGAAACUUCAAGGCUCGAGUCCGGGAGAGGGGGGUGGAAUUCCCAGUGUAGCGGUGAAAUGCGUAGAUAUUGGGAGGAACACCGGUGGCGAAGGCGGCCCCCUGGACCGGUACUGACGCUGAGGCGCGAAAGCGUGGGUAGCAAACGGG
rnacentral:rRNA from 1 species